UUCCGGUUGAUCCUGCCGGAGGUCACUGCUAUUGGGAUUCGACUAAGCCAUGCGAGUCGAGAGGGUUCGGCCCUCGGCUGACGGCUCAGUAACACGUGGAUAAUCUGCCCUUAGGUGGAGGAUAAUCUCGGGAAACUGAGGAUAAUACUCCAUAGAUCUAGGAUGCUGGAAUGCAUCUAGAUUGAAAGCUCCGGCGCCUAAGGAUGAGUCUGCGGACUAUCAGGUUGUAGUCAGGGUAAAGACCUGACUAGCCUACGACGGAUACGGGUUGUGAGAGCAAUAACCCGGAGACGAUAUCUGAGACACGAUAUCGGGCCCUACGGGGCGCAGCAGGCGCGAAAACUUCACGCUGUGCGAAAGCGCGAUGAGGGAAUCCCAAGUGUUGCUCGUAAGAGUAAACUGUUUUUUGUUCAAAAACGCAGAGAGAGUAAAGGCUGGGUAAGACGGGUGCCAGCCGCCGCGGUAAUACCUGCAGCUCUAGUGGUGAUCAUUAUUAUUGGGCCUAAAACGUCCGUGGCCGGUUUAGUAAAUGCCUGGGUAAAUCGUGUAGCUUAACUAUACGACUUCCGGGUAGACUGCUAAACUUGAGACCGGGAGAGGCUAGAGGUACUCCUGGGGUAGAGGUGAAAUUCUGUAAUCCUAGGGGGACCACCAGUGGCGAAGGCGUCUAGCUAGAACGGGUCUGACGGUGAGGGACGAAGCCCCGGGGCGCAAACCGGAUUAGAUACCCGGGUAGUCCAGGGUGUAAACGCUGCUUGCUUGAUGUUAGUUGGGCUCCGAGCCCAACUAGUGUCGGAGAGAAGUCGUUAAGCAAGCUGCCUGGGAAGCACGGUCGCAAGGCUGAAACUUAAAGGAAUUGGUGGGGGAGCACAGCAACGGGUGGAGCGUGCGGUUUAAUUGGAUUCAACGC
rnacentral:rRNA from 1 species